UUCCUUACUAGAAUAUACAACUACGGAAGAUAUGCUCUCGGCGUCUUAGGGAAGAAAGAACACUUGCUUGGCAAAAAUGAACACAUCCAAGGUACUUCAUUUCUUCAUGUACCGUUGAUCGUCUUGCGUUUCAUGUGCUUCCCUUAUUCGAAUUGAUUCCUAGCUAGUACAAUUUUUGCACCCUUUGUUGUGAGAUGGCGAGCUGUGGCAGUCGCAGCAUGUCAUACUAAUAAGUUCCAUUUUCUUUUAAAAAAAAUGGAGAGCUUGCUAUAGUACUAACUAGUUUUUUUUUCCUAUCAUGCUACUGACUUGGACCAUGAAUAAUUUGGAUGUAUUUUUACAGAGACAGUGCAACUAUUUUUUCUUGUCAUAUAAAUAAAGUUCAAUAAUAAAACAGAAAGGCAACUUGAAAUUAGGCAAGUGAAUAGUUGAUAUAAAAGGAAUCGGAUGCUAAAUUCAAUUUGCCUAAACGAUAAACAAGGCAGUGAAUAGUUGAUAUAAAAGGAAUCGGAUGCUCGUAGCCUAAGAGAGGGAGAGGUGAAUUAGUCGAUUUAAAAUCUUAACCUAAGGCUCCAGCUAGUUUUCACAAAACUUAAACUAAAACAUGCUAUCUAAAUAUGCAACUACGGUUCUUCUAAUGUGAAAUCUUCAUCCCAAAAGAGUUUUGUCACCUAUAGCCAAUCCUAUAGCUUGAUGCUACUCUAAGAAAGUAAAGGCACACAAGUUAUGAGAGGAAGCGAACUCUCUCGGUAUGAAGAUUUAUCCCGUGGUAUCAAUAGUCACUAAGCCACCUCCUAGUUCAUGUUGUUGAAGCACUCAAUCAUAAGUAUCGCUUCUCGGCCACCUAGUCUCUUCCGGAGGUAGAGAACCUUGACUUGCCACAAAGGCUAGGCCGCCAAGUCUCAUGCCAAGUUCCCGGUCAUCUUGGUCCUGCUUUCCAAUAAGGAGCAUCUCCAUGAAGGAUGGGGGUCUCCACAUGCCCUGCACAAAGCCGUCAACGACACUCCACACCAAGCCGAAAGGUCAAUGACUUGCCGGCAAGCCACCAAAGCUCUAAGGGCCAGCACACCAAGAUACAAGUUGUGCUUCACUGUAGAACCAGCACACAAGGCACAACACAUUGCUCACUCACUCAAACUUGAGCUAUCCUAGCACUCUCACUCACAAAAUAUGUGCUAAACCUAAGGAUUUGAUCAAUGAGCUCUUGGAAGACUUAGAGAACUUCUUCAGUAUAUGGGUAAGUUCACACGAACUCCAGCAAACUUAAAAUGCUGGGAUGAGGCUCUUAUAUAGCCUAACAACUCAAUAGCAGCGGCUAGCAAAAUUCAGCAAGGUAUCGGUUGAACCGGUGCCUAUGCAUAGGGGGUAUCAGUUUAACCGAUCAACCUAAGCCUUGAAGUAGUCAUUGGACUCCUGACAUGCUUCUGGCAUGCUCUGCUGCGGAUGUGGCAUUGCACCGACACUUGUACCAUUGUGCUGUCGGUUCAACCGGUCGUGAAGAAUUGGUUUCUUGCUCCUUGACAUGCUCUGUGGAAAAUGCCAGCACACAUGCACCGACGCUUCUUUGUUUGUACCAUCAGAUUAACCAGUCACAUAGGGUUUCUUCACUUGAUCACCGUGCCAGACUCCUCGUUGCACCGACGCCUGAUCUCCUAGUGUCGGUUUAACCGGUGCAGUUGGGUCUUCUUCACUUGGUCCAUCGAUGCAUAGCACAAAGCACCGACGCUCUACAAUUUAAUUUCAUGCCAUCGGUUUAACCGGUACACGCAUUCUGCUUCCACUUGUCCGACUCAUCGCAGCUGUUAUUUGGACACCUAAAAAAUAUUAUCUCUAUUUUUUCACUAUGAUUUGGACGUCUUGACAGUGAAUUGGGCACAUUGGAUAUGGUUUGGACUACAUCCGUGGGACCUAGAAAUCCUACAAAUAUGAUCUCACAAACUUUGUUAAUUCCAUUGAUUAUGUUGUCGCACAAUCACCAAAAUUACAAACAUGAUAACAUGCCACUAGCUAUAGAGGGGGCACAUUGGGUUAAGCAAAUUUAGCUCCCAGUUGAACUGGUGCAAAGCAGUUGUGGAUGACCUUCAAGAUGUUGCAUUCACUUGGCGGGCUGACAAAACAAAGAAAUCGCUCUCAGGAUGUGCAAUAUUUCUCAUUAUACUGUAUCUUGACAACCUCCAAUGCAAAUAUCAGAUUGCACACACUGAAACUCCUCGCGCAAAGUACUUUGAUCAAAAUGUUAUUAAGAAGAUAAUUACUACUGACAGGAUGAAAGACCGACAAGGGAAGGCUACAUUUGGGCUAUUACCGCUUAGGAACAGCAUCAAUACUUGCUACCAUAAGACUCAGCACUCAUCUUCAGAAGUCCCAGUAAACAUUGACCCAUUGGCCGCAACACAUUUCUCCAGUAUGCAAGCAGAAGUGCAUAGUUUAGUUGCUCAGAUUGGUACCAGUUCAAGGAAGAUGCAGGCAAUGCUGGUCUUGGCAAAUUUUGAAGCUAAAUCUAAGAAAGCAUCAAGUUAUAUGAACAUCGGCCAACAGAUACUAUGGGAUGCACAUCAGGCAGCCGUUCACACUCUGCGAACAAUUUUGCAUGAUGAGGUGAAUGGCAACAUCAAUCAACAACAUGCAGGUUCCCACAGAUGUUACUAUUGAUCGUGUCGUGCCUCUUCGAGCGGCUGAAGGAGAUGCUGGACCAUCCUUGCCCAUCGGCAGCACUCAUGAUAAUGUCCACGAAGAAACUUCACAUGUGGAUUCCCUAGUUGGAGUCACUGAUGCAUAUACCACUGUUACCAGCCCCCGACAAGUUGCAACGGCUGAAAUGACUAGAUCAGAAGCGAAUGUCGUUGCACAAACUGCCAAACAAGUGCCAGAUGAGUCGGCUGUAAUCAUUAGUAGCACCGAUGAUGCACUCGGCCCUAUUCUUUUCUGGCCUUGCACUCCAGGUGACAUCCCCCACUGCCCAGCUGUUAAUCCUAGGCCACAACGGCUUACAAAAAGACCCGCCAUGUAUGUGUCACCAUUCAAAGGUGAUCCGCAACGAGCAAAAGUUCCAUUGUCCAAGGCACUUGCUGUGAGAAAGAAGUUCAAAUGUAGAAUGACGUGUUUAAGUGAUGUUUUCAUCCGCACCGACUUGAGGGAAUUCAGUGGAUCAGACAUAUUAGCUUCCUUCAUUAAGGGGGAAAAGAUGUUGUGCACCGGAUUCAUGUCCUACUUUGUUGCUUGCAUGAGUCAUGAUGAAUCAGUCCACAUGAUUGAUGGUGGUGGAUACAGGGUCUUCUUAUCUCUAGAGCUUGGGGUGAGUGAGACCAAUGUCACGUGCACUAGUCAGCAUUUCAACAGUUUUUUAUAUUCUCUUAUGCCAUUCAUGGCACAUGUAGGAUUAUGUCAAUAUAGAGGAAGGUGAAGGCAUAUCUCAGUGGGAAUCACCUCAAGCCCUCGCCAUUUUACAACGUGAUAUUGAACAUGUUGAUCCAAACAAAGUGAAACUAUUCCUUUUGCCGGUUAUGGAGGAGGGUCACUACAGCAUAUACUGCAUCAACUUCAUACAUGACCGCAUAGAUGUUCUGGAUUCUAGCCCAGAAGACCACAAAGUUUACCAUCAAGUUCUAGGUGACCGAAUCAUUCACAGGCUCAAUCUCCUAUUCCAGUUGGCUACGAAUACCACAAUAAAACAGUUUACUAGAUUCAAGCAUCCCAUCAUAGAUGUAUGUUCACAAACGCGCGCAAUUGAUUGCGGUUUCUUUGCACUUAAAUUCAUGGAGCUUUGGAAUGGUGAAUCUUUCCAUUUUCCAAUCCUAGCAGAAAACAUAUGGCAGUACAAGUCUCAGCUCCUCUUCUAUGGCAUCUACCAUCCGAUCAACAAGAUUGAGAAGCUCCCUGCUGGACUCGAAGCAUAUAGGCCUCGCCUAUGAUCCUCAUCAUUGAUCCUUGUUUUCCAACAAAAUGUGUACUAGUGAACAAGUUCGAUGCCACUUGUUUUUCUACUGCCCACAAUAAAUUAUUUCAUGUUGGUUGUAUGGACACCAGAGGUUGUACUAAAGUUUUCAUGGAAUCUAUUUCCCUACUUUUAUUCCAGUUCAAUUGAUUUGUCA